CAGGUCACCAUUUACAUAGAUAUGAGCAUCCAUAUUUACUUGUCGGUAUUGACACAGCUUACUCUCUAUCAGUGUAUUCUAUAUCCGGGGGUGACACUGGCAUUGUAGUUGUCAUGUGUAAUGCACUGAAGACAACAUAACCCCUAUUCCCUCUAGAUCUGUGAAUGAGAUACCCUAUGGUUUCCAUUAUAUUAUAUGAAGGGAUGUGUCUUUUGUCAUGCAAUGCUUGCUAACAACGGCUCACGGUUGCUAACAACAGCCUGUAUAAAUGCAUGUACACUUUAAUAAUGCAUUAUGGACAGAUGCUUUGCAUGUUACUGUAUUGUCCACCGGAAUGAUUUGACAUAUAUAAGUGACAUUUUUACAGGUUAGCAGACACUCUUAUCCAGAGCGACUUAAGUAGUGAGUGCAUCCAUUUUCAUACUCGUCCCCAGUGGGAAUCAAACCCACAUCUCUGGCAUUGCAAGUGCCAUGCUCUAUCAAGUGAGCCACACAAGACUAUAUGUUGACAUAUGACACAAUGAUACGCCAUGUGAUUGCAGGUCCAGGAGAUUUGUUCGGAAACACCCCUCGGUGGAUGACAUGAGCGAGACAAGCACCAGUGAUGACACCAUGUCAGAGACCACCGUCCCCAAGACGCCACGGGUAAGUCUGAACCCAGUUAAUGGUGACUUCCGUACAGAAAAACAAUGACCACUCACAAAAGGCCUUGUGGGUCACAUGCAGAGAAUAUUGUUUGAGCGGUGUCCCAAAACUACAAGUAGGCUACUGUAUGUUACCUUACUGUGUUCCCCAACUGUUAUCCCUUCUGUUUAAGUUCUAUGUUGUUUUGGAACACGGUGGCGAUGGAAAGGUCAUUCACGUCAUGGGCUGUCCAAGAAGAGCUGUUUGUCCCUCUUGCUCCUCCGAAACAGGUGAAAGCUUUGUGUCAGAGGAGGCAGUGGCUAUUCCCAAACUCAAUAAAGGGUAUGAGUGCUCUUUUGGAUUGGCUACCAUGGAGACCAACAAGACGGUCGCCAACCACCUCAAGUCCAUCGACAACCUCAUCUUCCUGGAUGACCCUCAGCCUGCCUCUGCCAUCCCUCAGUUCACCUGAGGCCAUGCCCACUCAUAUACCCUUAUGAAAUGAACCCACCCCGAAAUGAGAAACCAAAAACACACACUGGGACCUGGAGUUUGCUAGCCUGGAAUCCACACUGAAUAUCGUCCUAGUAGACGGUCCAACUGCCCAUCUAUUGGAGCUUCUCCAGACUGAGUUCAGGAAACAAUAGUGAAACAAAGUGAUAUUCAGUGUCGAUUCCAGGCUAGGAGAACCCUUAGGUUGCUUAAGACGCUGUCUUUCCUUGAUGUUUAUAGCCCUGUUUUCUCUAGGGAGUGGGUGUAUUGCCGGCUUCUCUGGAUGCCUCUUCCCGAUAGCUAAACAACAGCACCUUCUGUGCAUGUGACACACUCGCAGAACACCUACACGCGCAGAAAGUUUGGCUGCCCAGUGGUGGAAGGCUGUGUAUUGCAUGAUCACUGAGAAGCGAAAUAACAGCUGUAUCUUAUUUAUGGUUAAAAUGCCGUUGCUUUGCCCCAAUGCACUGUGGAGACAGGUCUAAGCUACAUGGUACAUGUUAUGUUGUCAUGCAGGCUAAAUGCAUUUGGUUUCACCCCACAUUUAGGAUAAGAAUAUUGUCUGUGUCCUCCUUAUGUUUAUGGAACUGCAAAAUGCUUAGUUAGAACAGACAGAGAAUUUUGUAGGCACACAUGGAUCACGUGUGUGUGUGUGGAGGGGGGGGGGGGGAUGUUCAAAUCACCACGGGGUUUUUAUUUCAGCUGUUCAGAACUAAAGUAAAGUAACACAUGCACAAAAGGUAAUACGGUUGUUUAGCUCUGGGGAAGAGGCGUCCCGGGGGGGCGAGACUGGGGCUGAACAGGCGGUCCAGUCUGGUCACACAGCCUCUGCCUAGUCUAUAUUUAGGUAGACCUAUGUGGGGGGGGGGAUUAAUCUCUAUCCGCAACAUUUGCAUAUCCUUCAUUUUUCUGGUGUUCCAACUAGGAUAUUUGUUUAUAGUCACCUUUCCUUGCUAGCUGCUGUAUAAGAGAUGUGUUAAUGUUUUAUCAGACAAAACGUGCCAUGCUAUAUCACAUUUCAAGUGCACGUAUUGAAUCAAGGCUUGCUUUAUUUAAAAAAAAGAAGAAAAAGAUCAUUGAUUAAAAAGUUGCUUCUCCGAGUGUAAGGUUGCUCAGUGUAGAUUUGUGCCUUCCAAAGAUUGCGUUGCCAUGAUACAUGUUCAAAAGUUUUCAAGAGGUGUUUCUUUCUAUCAGCUUCAGUGUGAUGAUGUCAAUGUGACCUAUUCAAAGAUUGCUUGCUUUGGUAAUGAUCAAUGAUCAACAACCGAUUCGAUUUGGACAGUAACCUGUGAUGCACAGUGAAUCAUUGUAUUGCGAUCACACCUCUCAGAGGUAUAGGCAUACUCAUUAAUGGCAGCAUAGUGAAAUAGAGGGAAAUGGAACAGAGUGAAGAAAGAACAUACCAAAAAUGGAGAGUUCAGGCAGAGCACCUGUGUAUAAGCUUGGAGGAGGAGAGUGGAGGAUAGUAUCAACGUCAAUGAACAAAUGUAUAGCUCUGUCAAUUUUAUGAAUAACUCCAGUAAAUAUUUUACUUGUAUUUGAGUACAUUGUUUAGCCAUCCUGUCAUCUGCCAGCAAGUAGUUUGUGUGACCUUGAUGGUAUAUUUAUUUUUAUACAGGCAAAUAUCGUUUUCAUUCCUAGUCCUCCAAUUUUCUGAUAUACACUACUGGUCAAAUAUUUUAGAAUACCUACUCAUUCAAGGGUUUUUCUAGAUUUUCUACAUAGUAGAAUAACAGUGAAGACAUCAAGACUAUGGAAUAACACAUAUGGAAUCAUGUAGUAACCAAAAAAAGUGUUAAACUAAUCUAAAUAUUUUAUAUUUGCGAUUGUUUAAAUAACUACCCUUUGCAUUGAUGACAGCUUUGCACAUUCUUGGCAUUCUCUCAACCAGCAUCACCGGGAAUACUUUUUCAACAGUCUUGAAGGAGUUCCCACAUACACGGAGCAAUCAUUGGCUGCUUCUCCUUCACUCUGCGGUCCGACUCAUCCCAAACCAUCUCAAUUUGGUUGAAGUCGGGGGAUUGUGGAGGUCAGGUCAUCUGAUGCAGCACUCCAUCACUCCCCUUCUUGGACAAAUAGCCCUUACACAACCUGGAGGUGUGUUGGGUCAUUUUCCUGUUGAAAAAGAAAUGAUUGUCCCUCUAAGCCCAAACCAGAUGGGAUGGCAUAUCGCUGCUGAAGGUUGUGGUAGCCAUGCUGGUUAAGUGUGCCUUGAAUUCUAAACAAAUCACAGACAGUGUCACCAGCAAAGCACCCCCACACCAUAACACCUCCUCCUCCGUGCUUCACGGUGGGAACCACACAUGCGGAGAUCAUCCGUUCACCCACACCGCAUCUCACAAAGAUACGGCAGUUGGAACCAAAAAUCUCAAAUUUGGACUCCAGACCAAAGGACACAUUUCCACCAGUCUAAUGUCAAUUGCUCGUGUUUCUUGACCCAAGCAAGUCUCUUCUUAUUAUGGGUGUCCUUUAAUAACGGUUUCUUUGCAGCAAUUCAACCAUGAAGGCCUGAUUCACGCAGUCUCCUGUGUCUGUUACUUGAACUCUGCGAAGCAUUUACUUGGGCUGUAAUUUCUGAGGCUGGUAACUCUAAUGAACUUAUCCUCUGCAGCAGAGGUAACUCUGGGUCUUCCUUUCCUGUGGAGGUCCUCAUGAGAGCCAGUUUCAUCAUAGCGCUUAAUGUUUUUUGCAACUGCACAGUUCAUGAAAUGUUCCGUAUUGAGUGAUCUUCAUGUCUUAAAGUAAUGAUGGACUGUCAUUACUCUUUGCUUAUUUGAGCUGUUCUUUCCAUAAUAUGGACUUGGUGUCUUUUACCAAAUAGGGCUAUCUUCCGUAUACCUUCCCUACCUUGCCCCCUACCUUGUCACAACACAACUGAUUGGCUCAAAUGCAUUAAGAAGGAAAUAAAUUCCAUAAAUUAACUUAAGAAGGCACACCUGUCAAUUAACAUGCAUUCCAGGUGACUACCUCACGAAACGGGUUGAGAAAAUGCCAAGAGUUUGCAAAGCUGUCAUCAAGGCAAAAGGUGGCUAUUUGAAAUAAACAUUUAAAAUACAUUUAUUUUGAUUUGGUUACUUUUUUGGUUACUACAUGAUUCCAUAUGUGUUAUUUCAUAGUUUUGAUGUCUUCACUAUUAUUCCACAAUGUAGAAAAUAGUAAAAAUAAAGAAAAACCCUUGAAUGAGUAGGUGUUCUAAAACUUUUGACCGACAGUGUAGACUAACUUUUCUUAUUGAUCGUGGAACAGAUAAGAUUGAUGCUGGUUUUUAACUACAUUGUUUUGUCUGGAAAAGGGAGUUUCCAUUGGAGAUGCUGGGGGUGUCUGAAUAAAAGAAAAACAGAGAGAGACAUGGGAUGCAUAGUGCACCGCUAAAAAUGCAUCCCAAAUGGCACCCUAUUCCCUACAUAGUGUUCUACUUUUGAACGGAGCCCCUAUGGGCCCUGUUCAAAAGGAGUGGACUACAUAUUGAAUAGGGUGCCAUUUGGGAUGCAUCCAUACCUAUACGCUAUCUGUGAAUACUUGUGCAAACCACAUAAAGACUACUAAUAGUAGAGAAGGAAAGUGGAGGCUUGUUAUGGUACUGACUUCUGCUUUUUCUUUGUUUGCAUGUGACCUUAACUAUACUGUACCUGCUCAAGUUAUUGACAGCGACUGUGAUCUUCUUCAGGAACUUCAUAACAACUGGUUUCCUUUUCUAUUUGGUUUUGCUGUAUUCUGUCGUUCAGCACACACAUGCUCCAUUUGACUGGAUUGACCUGUUAAAACGUACAUUUGUGUCAAUGCUUGUAUAUCUUUGCUGGUAAUAAAAUCCUUAUAUUCACAACAACAAAAAACUGUCUGGUGGAAAUAAGUAUAUUUUUUCAACAGUACUGUAAAACACCAAGUGGGAUAUGGGUUUGUCUCAGUGCAAAAAAAAAAAGUGGAAAUUGAUUACAAAUCAAUAUUCAAUAAUCAAUGGCGACAACAAUACCACCUGGCCUUAAUUAUCUAAAAAGGGAAAGCAUGUACCACCAUUAUCUCAAGAUCACGGCAAAAAAGCACGAUGAUUAAGUGUAAGAAAACUGGGAGAGAACUAUAGGUCAAAAGCCCCG
rnacentral:lncRNA from 1 species